UACGUAGGGUGCAAGCGUUGUCCGGAAUUAUUGGGCGUAAAGGGCUCGUAGGCGGUUUGUCGCGUCGGGAGUGAAAACACCGGGCUUAACUCGGUGCUUGCUUUCGAUACGGGCAGACUAGAGGCAUGCAGGGGAGAACGGAAUUCCUGGUGUAGCGGUGAAAUGCGCAGACAUCAGGAGGAACACCGGUGGCGAAGGCGGUUCUCUGGGCAUGUCCUGACGCUGAGGAGCGAAAGUGUGGGGAGCGAACAGG
rnacentral:rRNA from 1 species